rnacentral:tRNA from 1 species
ACCUUUUUAGUAUAAAAAGUACGCUUGGCUUCCAACCAAAAAGUUUAAAAGUUUAAAAAAGGUA